GGACAACAAACAACAGACUAUAGAUGCCAAGUAAUUGCUUAUAUGGUUUCAAAAACUGGAUAUAUUUUUUUAAGGCAAUGCCAUUAUUAGUUUGGCUCCUAUAAAAAGAAGAAAUUAAUAUGUUGUGUCAUUUUAAUAUACAUAUUUUUGACUUCAUUACACUUCUGUUAAUAUAAAGAUACAGAGUCACUGUUACAAAAAUGAGUUUCAUUCAAGUUAAAAAUCUGCAGGAUUUUUGUCGUUUUUUAAAAAACAAAGAUGUGUAAGGAUUUGACAGUCUAGUUUCAAACAAGUAAACAUCACACUUCAAUUGAACAAUAUAAGAAAGAUUGCAACAGAGCUAUUUACAAUAUUUAUAAAUCCUGAUUUUUCUUUUAAACAAAAUUUGUAUAUAUACAAAUAAAAAAUAUGUUUAAAAAUAUUGGUAAAAUAUAAAAUAACGACUUAAAAAAAACACAAAUAACAUAUAAAACAAUUCACAUUCAUACAUGUAUGCACUCACAACCAAUACUCUUACACCAUGUGCCAUUCUCUGCAUUACAUGUAAGUCACAUAAUAAUAAGAAUAGUGUGUUAACCAGCCUUACCAAUAAACAUGAUAAAAGCUCAUAAGUUUAACGUUGAAUAGAACUACCACAGAACUGGAACUUCUCAGCAUUGACUAGAUAUAAAGUCUCAUUGAAGCUUUCAUCCAAAACUGAACAGGAUAAAAUUAAACAUAGUUAAAAGGUUCUGUGAUAUAAAAAAAGUUAAUCCAGAAACAAAAGAAAUGUGAAUUAAAAAAAUACAUUCCAACAGUUCUAAUAAAAAUGCAGAGAAUGACACUAAAAAAAAACAAAACAGAAAUAUUUUAACUUAAAAUAACAAGAUAAUAAAUUAAAACACUGUCAUUUCUUACCAGAUUAAAACUGUUUUGGUUAAAAAGAACUUUGAAAUAAUUCUAAUGUACUUUUUAUAUUUAAAAAAUAUGAUAAAAAUAAAAAUUGUGAUAUUUCUCUUUUUCUAAUACAUAGAAUAAUAUAACCACCCUUUUCCCCAAUCAUCAUAAUUAUUUUACAAUAAGAAAAAUUAACAGGUUUUAAAGUACAAAUCAAAGAAGCCUUACACUACACACAUCAUCCCUCAUGCACAUGUAUGACAAGAAUUUAUAGCAAUGAAUAUUAUUUAUAAUACUGAUGGACUAGUAUAUUUUAAGUCUGCUGUCAUACUUCCAGGAGCCGUUUCACCAAACACAUUUAUACUUUAUGUGUAAAACAUCUGGACCCAGUUGUUGAAUGUAUUGAACCACUAAAGAAAUUCCAAUGAUUUUUAUAUAAAAUGGCAACAGUGUUGAAAAGCAAAGCACAACCCAAUGCUUUAUGGGCCCUGUAAUUUGGGAAAUAAAAAUAUUCUAUUCUAUAUUCUAUUCUAUUGCAACAAAAUGUCAAUUGACUUUGACCUUUGAUAGUAAUCUUGUGGGGGACAGUUUACCCAGUUAAUAAAAUUGAGAAUGGAAGAAUUAAGAAUGAUAUGUUUUAAGGCAGACCUUUUUUUUUAUUCAUCUUUAUUGAGAAAAAGUUUGUUGUAAGAAACGGUGGACGAUUAUUCUGACAAACUUGCCUGAUCUUAAUAAAAUAACAUUAUGAAUGCUUUUAUAUCAAUACUGAUUUAUCAAGGACAGUUAUUAUCACAGACCAAAGACUAAGUAUAAUUCCACUGCAUUUCAAUAAAGCAAGUGAUUGUUAUAAACAUAGGCCCAGGCCCCCCCCUUUUGUGGGAAAAAUUUGGUUGAUUAUAUAGGGAAUCAUUGAAGCAUGUCUGGAGCGGGCCCCCCCAUAGGAAAAGUUCUGGAUCCGCCACUGAUAAAUAAUAAUUAACCUCCACAAACUUAGGGACGACAUCAAAAGAUCGAUGUAGGAUAAAAAACUUAAAUCAAAUAGUUUGGGGGUGGGGGUCAACAUUGCCGCAAGUUUUGUUAAUCUAAAAUCGAUUUUACAUAUAUCCCUAUUGGUCAAUCAAUUUUUCCCAAAUUAAGUUAAGAGGGGGGUGUGGGGGUCAGUGAAAAAACAAUGUGAAUUAAGUUUUUUAUCCUUCAUUGAACUUUUGAUGUCGUCCCUUACCUAACAGUUGCAAUAUGUUUUUUAUUGACCCAGAGUAUAUUAUUACUUUGCCAUUAAGCAUUAUUUAUUGAUAUAACAGACAUGCCCACCCACUAGACAUGUAAUGAACUAUUUGACUGUGAAAUAUCAUAAGGA
rnacentral:lncRNA from 1 species